UGGGGACUCGUCUAAUGGUAGGACAGCGGACUCUGACUCCGUAUGUGGGGGUUCAAAUCCCUCGUCCCCAGCCA
rnacentral:tRNA from 2 species